rnacentral:rRNA from 1 species
UACAGAGGGUGCGAGCGUUAAUCGGAAUUACUGGGCGUAAAGCGUGCGUAGGCGGCUUGUCAAGUAGGGUGUGAAAGCCCCCGGCUCAACCGGGGAAUUGCGCCCUAAACUGGCGAGCUGGAGUGAGAUAGGGGUGUGUGGAACUUCCGGUGGAGCGGUGAAAUGUGUUGAUAUCGGAAGGAACGCCGGUGGCGAAAGCGACACACUGGAUCUUGUCUGACGCUGAGGCACGAAAGCCAGGGGAGCGAACGGG